rnacentral:rRNA from 1 species
AGCAGCCGCGGUAAUUCCAGCUCCAAUAGCGUAUAUUAAAGUUGUUGCAGUUAAAAAAGCUCGUAGUUGAAUUUCGGGAUCAGUAGGUCGGUCGUGCCACUGGUAUGAACUGGUCUCACUGGUUCCUCCCUCUUGACGAACUGCAAUGCUAUUAAUUUAGUGUAGUAGGAAAUCAGGACUGUUACUUUGAAAAAAUUAGAGUGUUUAAAGCAGGCUUUAGCUUGAAUACAUUAGCAUGGAAUAAUGAAAUAGGACGUUCGAUCCUAUUUUGUUGGCUUCUAGGAUUGACGUAAUGAUUAAUAGGGACAGUUGGGGGCAUUAGUAUUCAAUUGUCAGAGGUGAAAUUCUUGGAUUUAUUGAAGACUAACUACUGCGAAAGCAUUUGCCAAGGAUGUUUUCAUUAAUCAAGAACGAAAGUUAGGGGAUCGAAGACGAUCAGAUACCGUCGUAGUCUUAACCAUAAACUAUGCCGACUAGGGAUCGGAUGAUGUUAAUUUUUUAAUGUA